rnacentral:rRNA from 1 species
GACGAACGCUGGCGGCGUGCUUAACACAUGCAAGUCGAACGGAAAGGCCCUGCUUUUGUGGGGUGCUCGAGUGGCGAACGGGUGAGUAACACGUGAGUAACCUGCCCUUGACUUUGGGAUAACUUCAGGAAACUGGGGCUAAUACCGGAUAGGAGCUCCUGCCGCAUGGUGGGGGUUGGAAAGUUUCGGCGGUUGGGGAUGGACUCGCGGCUUAUCAGCUUGUUGGUGGGGUAGUGGCUUACCAAGGCUUUGACGGGUAGCCGGCCUGGGAGGGUGACCGGCCACAUUGGGACUGAGAUACGGCGCAGACUCCUACGGGAGGCAGCAGGCGGGAAUAUUGCACAAUGGGCGGAAGCCUGAUGCAGCAACGCCGCGUGCGGGAUGAAGGCCUUCGGGUUGUAAACCGCUUUCGCCUGUGACGAAGCGUGAGUGACGGUAAUGGGUAAAGAAGCACCGGCUAACUACGUG